rnacentral:piRNA from 1 species
UUUUCCGCCACUAUUUGAAUU